rnacentral:lncRNA from 10 species
CCUUGCCCUCCCCUGACUGGUUUUAUAGAUUAUACUAAACAUGGUGUUCUCAGUGCUUAGUUCCUCAAAUGGCUGUGUUCUCUGCAUGGGCAAGGACACGGUUAACUUGGGAGUUUUAUCCCAGUGAAAGUAUGUACUUGAAUAUCUGCGUGUUCUGUUUACUGUGAAAGAACAGUCAUAAAGAACGAAGGAAAUCUUGCCUUUGGCACAUAAAGCCUAUCCAAGGAGGCUGGAGCUAUGGAGGGAAAGCCAGAAGAGCAUUUGCAGACUGGCUGAGGCACUUUGCCAUCUUGCACCCACAGGGGAGUUUAUUAAGGAGUGUUAAACUCACAUGAUCACAAGGUCCAACAAUAGGCUGUCUGCAAGCUGAGGAGCAAGGAAGCCAGUCCAAGUCCCAAAGCUGAAGAACUUGAAGUCCUAUGUUCGAAGGCAGAAAGCAUCCAGCAUGGGAGAAAGAUGUAGGCUGGGAGGCUAAGCCAGUCUAGCCUUUUCACAUUUUUCCACCUGCUUUAUAUUCUCUGGCAGCUGAUUAGAUGGUGUCUACCAUGAUUAAGGGUGGGUCUGCCUUCCUCAGCCCACUGACUCAAAUGUUAAUCUUCUUUGGCAAUAUUCUCACAGACACACCCAGGAUCAAUACUUUGCAUCCUUCAAUUGAAUCAAGUUGACAGUAUUAACCAUGACACAUGCCCAGAAAAGAGGAGAACUUUGCUGCUUUCCACCCACAGAGUGUGCGUAGGAUGUGCCCAGUGUCCCCAGCUCUGCACCAGCUGCUUCCCAAGAAGACCUGGCUGAGCUGCAAUGUCAGAGUCUGACACUGAUGGAGCUACAUUUCAGAAGUGAACAACUUAGAAGACGGUGUGCAUCCACUCUUCUUCCUCAUGGUCCUGUUCCAGGGCUGUGAAGCAAGCCAAUAGCCUUUGGAGAUGUAACCCCAGGGGCCAGUUAUAUAUCUGCAGGACAUGCUUUAUUCUGCAGUGGACAAAAUCUAUAUUGAGGGUCCCUUAGGUCUUUGUUGCUUACUGCAAUACAGUUUACAAAAAUCCUUGUAUCUUUGGGGGUAGGAGGUGCUUUCCCAGAUUAAUAAAAUUGUCUAUCUCUCUCUCUUUUUUUUUUUUUUGAGAACAGGCUCGCUCUGUUGCCCAGGCUGGAGUGCAGUGGCAUGGUCUUGGCUCACUGCAACCUCCACCUCCCAGGUUGAAGCAAUUCUCCUACCUCAGCCUCCUGAGUAGCUGGGACUAUAGGCACACAC